AGCGAACGCUGGCGGCAGGCCUAACACAUGCAAGUCGAACGGAUCAUUCGGGCUUAGUGGCGGACGGGUGAGUAACCCGUGGGAACGUGCCCUUUGGUUCGGAACAACUCAGGGAAACAUGAGCUAAUACCGGCUGUGCUCUUCGGGGGAAAGAUUUAUCGCCAUUGGAGCGGCCUGCGUCUGAUUAGCUAGUUGGUGAGGUAACGGCCCACCAAGGCGACGAUCAGUAGCUGGUUUGUGAGGAUGAUCAGCCACACUGGGACUGAGACACGGCCCAGACUCCUACGGGAGGCAGCAGUGGGGAAUCUUGCGCAAUGGGCGAAAGCCUGACGCAGCCAUGCCGCGUGAAUGAUGAAGGUCUUAGGAUUGUAAAAUUCUUUCAGCGGGGACGAUAAUGACGGUACCCGCAGAAGAAGCUCCGGCUAACUUCGUG
rnacentral:rRNA from 1 species